UACGUAGGUGGCAAGCGUUGUUCGGAAUUAUUGGGCGUAAAGGGCGCGUAGGCGGCAUGUUAAGUCGGCUGUGAAAGCCUGGGGCUCAACCCCAGAGGGUCGGCCGAUACUGGCAAGCUAGAGUACGGAAGAGGUAGCUGGAAUUCCCAGUGUAGCGGUGAAAUGCGUAGAGAUCGGGAGGAACACCUGUGGCGAAGGCGGCCCCCUGGGCCCGCACCUGACGCUGAGACGCGAAGGCGUGGGGAGCGAACGGG
rnacentral:rRNA from 1 species